GAUGAACGCUGGCGGCGUGCUUAACACAUGCAAGUCGAGCGAAGCGCUUUGGUUAGAUUCUUCGGAUGAAGACCUUUGUGACUGAGCGGCGGACGGGUGAGUAACGCGUGGGUGACCUGCCUUAUACAGGGGGAUAACAGUCAGAAAUGACUGCUAAUACCGCAUAAGCGCACGGAACCGCAUGGUUCUGUGUGAAAAACUCCGGUGGUAUAAGAUGGACCCCGCGUUGGAUUAGCUUGUUGGUGAGGUAACGGCUCACCAAGGCGACGAUCCAUAGCCGGCCUGAGAGGGUGAACGGCCACAUUGGGACUGAGACACGGGCCCAGACUCCUACGGGAGGCAGCAGUGGGGAAUAUUGCACAAUGGGGGAAACCCUGAUGCAGCGACGCCGCGUGGAGGAAGAAGUAUC
rnacentral:rRNA from 1 species